rnacentral:lncRNA from 1 species
UGAUGUAGACCAGGGCUCAGUUGACUACAGGUGUUAGACCGGCUGAUGUUUGGCUCUGGGUUCAGAGAUUAUAAAGUGUAUAGACUAGUCUCUGGAGAAGCUACGGGGACCAGCGUGGGUUUGCCUCUGGGUUAGAGAUUAUAAGUGGACUAAAAUGAUUAUUUCUUUAUAUGAACAUGAGUACAAACAAUGGAUGAAAAAUAAAAAUAGAGUCUCACAGGGUUCAGAUGCAAUUAACUAAUGACCAACGUUUGGACAGGACAAGUUGUCUUCAUCAGGGUAUAAUGACAAACCCUGCUGGUCAUCUUAUAUAGUGUCAAAGGCCACACACAGGUGUCUGUACAUCAUAGCCAGGUGUGGCUUGAUAUGAUUGGUUAAUUCUCGUAUAUAAAUAAAAAGUAUAAAAAACAUGAAGAUACAUGAGAUCAUAGAUACAAUUUGGCUUCUAAGCCUACAAACAUUGACAAUGAAAGGCAAAAUCACAAUAAUCACAAGAA